AUUGAACGCUGGCGGCAUGCCUUACACAUGCAAGUCGAACGGCAGCACGGGAGCAAUCCUGGUGGCGAGUGGCGAACGGGUGAGUAAUAUAUCGGAACGUGCCCAGUCGUGGGGGAUAACGCAGCGGAAGCUGUGCUAAUACCGCAUACGAUCUACGGAUGAAAGCGGGGGAUCGCAAGACCUCGCGCGAUUGGAGCGGCCGAUAUCAGAUUAGCUAGUUGGUGGGGUAAAGGCCCACCAAGGCGACGAUCUGUAGCUGGUCUGAGAGGACGACCAGCCACACUGGAACUGAGACACGGUCCAGACUCCUACGGGAGGCAGCAGUGGGGAAUUUUGGACAAUGGGCGCAAGCCUGAUCCAGCAAUGCCGCGUGCAGGAUGAAGGCCUUCGGGUUGUAAACUGCUUUUGUACGGAACGAAACGGCCCUUUCUAAUACAGGGGGCUAAUGACGGUACCGUAAGAAUAAGCACCGGCUAACUACGCGCCAGCCGCCGCGGUAAUAC
rnacentral:rRNA from 1 species